UAUACAAUGCCCUGUGGCAGAGAAAGCGAUCUCCUCUUCCAGAGUUCAAUUAUUUGUCAAGCAAUCAUUUUACUCUUCCAACAACUACUGCAUAAAUGGGAAAACGAAACCGAUUUUGUUUUGUUCUCCGCGCUCCCAGCACCAGGUGGAACCACGCGCGGCGCUUCCGAUCUCGGAGGAUGUAACAAGACGAGCGGUUGACGAAGCUGCAUUGUGUAGCCAGCCGGUUUAUCUUUUUAUGUUGUACAGUUUGUUAGUUUACCGUAAAUAUGUCUUGAUUUGUACUCAAGAGUGGAUCAAGGCCCUAUGGAACAGAGAUUGACGCAUCGUGAGCGAAGAACAGACGCGAUGGAUGGUUAGGCUGCUUGACUCUCGGCUGUACGACUCUCGGCAUGUUAGGACUGGCAAAGUUCCGAAUUUGUCGCGGUGUGGUGUACGCUUCUGUGCUCGUCAAGUGCCGUCAGAGCGCGGGGAUGUUUGAACGGAAUGUGUCCCUUCGUCUACAAAACUCUGCACGCUGCGGCAUCGAAGUCCUGUGUACGGGUGCACGUAUGCGCUUGGAUACGGGAUAGCCUGCCCUCAACGGAUGUUCAACAGUGUACGCACGCUGCGCGUACGCGUACGUAUGAGACUAGUUGCUGGUGUCCUGCUGGAGCUGAGAAGAGAUCUGCUGCCUGCCAUGAGACCAUGUCUCUCAAGUUACCGCAAUAUUGUUGCCUUCAAACCUGUCGAGACAAGGUUUCUGUACAUGGCCAUGGCGCUCAAGGAAGAAACCGAGACUGUAGACUGCCAACGUUCAUUCCUGUUCCGGCAAAGACGGGCCAGCAGUGACCAGCAGGAUUUUACAAAGUGAACUCAUCACAGCUUGAGCCACUCCAUGCCACAAGCAGUUGCUCCUCGAGCCACCGUGCAAAGGUUCCUUGGGGCACAAGUCCAACUCAGCGCCACAACCUUUCUUCUGCAGUUUUUCUACCUACUUAGCUAACCAGCAGCAAGUUUAUCCUUGCAAGGCAUGUGGGAACAGCUUUCACCAGGAAAAGUACAAGACGAGUGGUCGAAGAAAAUAAAAUUGCUUCUGUGAUCUAAAGUACUUGACGAAUAAAAUUUUGCACUUAUUUGUAUAUAUGUCGUGCAAUUCAUUCAUAUCACAAAAAGCAAAGUGUUUGAUCUUUUGAGCUAUUUCAAUGUGU